GGUCUUAGUGUUUGCAACUUGAGCUCUUCAUAAGAGGUAAUCGAACAAUUGGCCAGGUAAGCAGGUGGGAGGCUCUCCUUACUCAGAGAGUAAGGUCCUAAUUAAGUAACCACCUUUUAUGCUUUCCUAGACACCAAUUAGAUCAAUUAAUCUAAUAUGACUUGCUCAUGUCGGUUCACCCUCGACUUGAUUGAGGAGGUUUUGAUUUAGGUCU
rnacentral:lncRNA from 1 species